CAGACACAUUUCCUGUUAUUCCUUGCCUAGGCUUACCUACAAUUUUCUAUCCUCGAAAUCCAAAGCUCAGACAUGAGAAAACGGCACAGUUGAGAGAGAAUGAGAGAAUGCAUACAAACAGGCACGGUGAGUCAGACGCUCAAUGCCCGUUGAUGGUGAAGAUUUUACAUGCGGUGAAGGGUGUACCAGCAGGCUCCAUGGCACGAAGUGUCUCCCGACGAGAGACCAAUGGAAUGAUCUGGGCACAGGUUGCUAGUAGGUGGUGUUCGAGGUCCGCGCGGAGGGACAUCGUCACAACACCCUGGCCCUGUUGCGGAGUCCCUUCUCCUACACUACCACGGCUGUCGUGAUAAUCGCACACACACCUGACCAAGCUUAACAAAUAAAGAGCAGGUAAACGACUGAGUGAGCCUUUUGUUUAACGAACACUGCCACACACACACAUUACUACGUAAAGUGGGACAAUUGUCUGCACUGGCCAGUUAAGGGA